AUCCUGAUAAUUACAUAAGAAAGAAAGCAGUGGAAAAGACCAAACAGAGAGAGAAAGUAAAACGAAAACCAAAAAAUACAAACACAGCUAGCCAUUCGACUUCCUUCUUCCAAACAGAUCAAGCAAUGAAAGGGUCGAACAAGGAAAUAGAGCCUCUUCUCCACCAAAUUCACGGGCCACGAAACACCUAUGGAGGGUCGAUCCAUCUCCUAUCCACAGCUGAUUUUUGUUCCACCUUGAAAGGGGCUUCCUCCACCCAGUACCUAUCUUCCUCUCCCAGAUCCGAAGUCGUAGCCAACAGAUGAGCUACCUCGUUAGCUUGACGAGGGACAAGACGAUAGCACAUGCAUGGAAGUUUCGAGCCUUCUGCCGGACAUCCCAAAUCAAGGUAAUAAUUUCGAAGUAGUCAGGACCCGAAGAGGAAAGCCUCUCAAUCAUUGUGCACGCAUCCUCUUCCAGAACAAUAUCGAAGAAACCCAUAUCUAGAGCAAACUGAACAACAUCUUCGGCUGCCACAGCUUUAGCCAAAAACGCAGAGGUAACCCUCAUUCUCUUCUUUCUACAAGCUCCCAGAAUAAAACCUUCCGAUCUCGUAUUACAAUUCUUGACCAAGCUCUGUUUUGUGAAUGCGAGAAACUGGCGUCAAAGUUUACCUUGACCGUGGGGGAGACAGGCGGCUGCCAUCGGACUAGAUUUGGCCGAUCAGGACCUUGAAUUCGUCCGUUGGCAGAACAAAAAACUCUAGUAAUGGGCUCGUACACAGCUUAGAAAUGCAUGGAGUCAUGCUCCCGACAACAUGCCCCAUGUGGAAGCUACUGUUAAUUGAUUUUUAUUUCUACUUUAAGUGAGGCAUGGCGUGUGUUCCACUGACAGACUUUGCAUGAUGUUCUUUUUUUUUCUUUUUAAUCCAAAUGAACCCAGAAAUAUUGUAUGAAAACCAAUAAAAAAUUGAUUAGAUUCUCAAAUUCCACCAUCAAUUAUAAUUAUCUUUGCUAAUA